rnacentral:lncRNA from 1 species
UCUCAAAUGCCCAAGAAAACCAUACCUCUGAAAACUUCACCAAAGCAGAAGGCUUUUGGAUCUUUAUGGAGUUGAUCUCAACCUUUUGGCAUGCAUGUGUCUUACAAGGACUACAGAGUAAUUGCCACUUCCUGUUUACCAAGUCCAAUUAGUGUGCCAUCAGUAUGUAAACAAAUCUGAUAUUCUGUGGAAUGUUAAAAUAAUCCAGGUCCCUUUUGUGAACAAAAGGAAGCAAGAGAGUUAAGACAGCUCUGGGGCAAAAAGAUUGAUUAUUUUCAAGAUAGUUUCCCAACAGACCCUGGCAUAAGAGCUCAGUCUGAAUGAGAGGAACAAGGAAUGCGCUUUGCCACCAGAUGGAAGCCUGUGGUAAUCAGCGAAGUCAGGUUCCUGUCAUCAGGUGCAAAUCACCCAGAUAAUGAAAGUCCCUUUUGUACACUGUGCACUAGUUCCAGAAAGCAUUAGUUAAAAUUGGCUAAAUUCUGCUCUGUAUGUAUUCUCUCAACCUCAUUAUGUUAUUUUCUUGGUAGAAGAUGAGGUGCUAGGAUCAAAAUGUUAGUCUAAUGACAUGUUUUCUAUAUUAAUAAUCCUUAGGUCAUUGCCAUAUUCAGAGCUGUAUUAGAUAAUAACAUUUAAAAAGCCCAUUUUCAUUCUGAGCGGCUCAGUUUUAGUAACUGUUGAGUUUCACACCACCACCUCUUAUCCCUAUACCAGCUGCCUACAGGAAGCACAGAAACUUAAUUAUUGACAGACUAAAUAUUUGCAUCUUGUGGAAACCAGAAUAUUCCAUAAUUUAAGAACUUAGCAAAUAUUUUCCCUAAAACCAGAUUUUGUACUUUAUUGUGGGUUGCAUUUAAGAAUAGCAGUAUGAAAUUUUCAAACUGCAGUUGGGAACCUUUAUCCUUUCUGAGGUCUGAGCAUGGAUUGUUAGCUCUUUUUUUCUUUUUAAAAUGUUUAAUCUUUGCCCACUUUUGCCAUUUCUUCUUUCAUGUGCGUGAAAUGUCAGCUUGCAAAUUGGUGAGCUGCUACCUACUAUUUUCCCUCAAUAUAUGAGUAAUUUCUAUGCCAUGUGGAUGCAUUUGUAAAAGGCCACUGAUUAAGGUUAUUCUGUGCACAAGGAUCUUAUUUAAGAGCAUCCAUGAUCAGAUUUUAAUUUCUCUUGCUAAUCUGCAGUUCUC